rnacentral:lncRNA from 12 species
CCACGCACGCACCCACUUGUCAAGUCAGAAACCCAAGUCUCUUCCUUCUCCCUCAUCCCCAGGUCGGCUUCUCACCCAGAUUCCAUCACAUCGACCUCUGAACUGUGCACGGAAUCCGUCUGCUUGUCUCCACCCUCUGCCUCCACUGUGGGCAAGGCCACCACUGACCCCCGUCCUGAUGACAGCGACGGCCUGCUCACCGCUCCUCCUCAAGUUUUAUUCCCAAGAAGAGUACUCCCCACACCAAGGCCAGUGCGGCCGUCAAGUGGUAAUUCUGACUGUGCCCUCACACCGAUGAACGCCUACAGUUUUUCCUGCUUCCAGAACAAAGGCUAAGUCGUGGACCCUGAUGGCAGCUGUGGCCCUGCUCUCCGGCCUCCCGUCUCACCCGCCCCAGCUCUUGGGCACCGUGCGCUCUCCUGCCUCCCUGCCUUCCUGGGACCACUGAUCCCUCUUCCCAAAGAACUCUUUCUCUCCCUCACUUUCCUUGGCUGGCUCUCAUUCGUCCUUUAGGACUUCCCCACGAAGGCAUUUCAGGCUCCCGCAUCUCGAACCCGAUUCCACACGACCCGUCAUCAUUGUGUCCAUGCUGCCUGCAUCAAGUGCAGAGAAAGUGAGGACUCGUUUGGCAGCAGCCUGGAGUGCGGACAACACACAAAUGUUUUCAGUUUCCAUCACGGCCAACAGCACACGAGCUCCACUUGGCUGGCUCUGUUCUUCACGGGAAGAUGAGCGUCCCCGUGUGUGGGCACCCCAGGCUCUCCAAGCUCCGGUGCACCCCAUGCUGGGAGUCCCAGGAGGUGGCUCUGACGAGAAGCAGGAGCGUCACCAUCCAAGGUGAGUGAAUGGGCUCGUGAGAUAGCCAAGUGCUGCUGAUAUCACACGAUGGGCCUGUCCUUCCAGCCUCAUCAAGGCCAUCGGGUGCUUGGAGGUGGGACACACUUGGUUUGAAUUCCCGUCCUGACCUGAGAGGCUCUGCAGAAGCCACCAAACGUCUCCAGGUGCCCGUUU